CGACCUGCCGCUUACUCGGGGAUAGCCUUUCGAAAGAAAGAUUAAUACCCGAUGGUAUAAAGAGUUCGCAUGUUCUCUUUAUUAAAGAAUUUCGGUAAGCGAUGGGGAUGCGUUCCAUUAGAUUGUUGGCGGGGUAACGGCCCACCAAGUCUACGAUGGAUAGGGGUUCUGAGAGGAAGGUCCCCCACAUUGGAACUGAGACACGGUCCAAACUCCUACGGGAGGCAGCAGUGAGGAAUAUUGGUCAAUGGACGCGAGUCUGAACCAGCCAAGUAGCGUGAAGGAUGACUGCCCUAUGGGUUGUAAACUUCUUUUAUAAGGGAAUAAAGUGAGGGACGUGUCCCUUUUUGUAUGUACCUUAUGAAUAAGGAUCGGCUAACUCCGUGCCAGCAGCCGCGGUAAUACGGAGGAUCCAAGCGUUAUCCGGAUUUAUUGGGUUUAAAGGGAGCGUANGUUGACGUAUAAGUCAGCUGUGAAAGUUUAAGGCUCAACCGUGAAAUUGCAGUUGAUACUGUAUGUCUUGAGUGUACAAGAGGUGGGCGGAAUUCGUGGUGUAGCGGUGAAAUGCUUAGAUAUCACGAAGAACUCCGAUUG
rnacentral:rRNA from 1 species